rnacentral:tRNA from 1 species
GGAAGCGUGCCCGAGUCCAGGGGCUAUUUUGAUGAAAUAGACACAGAGACACACUAAGCCUCUCGCCUCCAA